rnacentral:rRNA from 1 species
AUUGAACGCUGGCGGCAUGCUUUACACAUGCAAGUCGAACGGUAACAGGCCUUCGGGUGCUGACGAGUGGCGAACGGGUGAGUAAUGCAUCGGAACGUACCCAGAGGUGGGGGAUAACGCAGCGAAAGCUGUGCUAAUACCGCAUGUGAUCUGAGGAUGAAAGCGGGGGACCGAGCAGCAAUGUUUGGCCUCGCGCCUUUGGAGCGGCCGAUGUCGGAUUAGCUAGUUGGUGGGGUAAAGGCCUACCAAGGCGACGAUCCGUAGCUGGUCUGAGAGGACGACCAGCCACACUGGGACUGAGACACGGCCCAGACUCCUACGGGAGGGAGCAGUGGGGAAUGUUGGACAAUGGGCGCAAGCCUGAUCCAGCAAUGCCGCGUGCGGGAAGAAGGCCUUCGGGUUGUAAACCGCUUUUGGCAGGAACGAAACGGUGUCCGCUAAUACCGGGCGCUAAUGACGGUACCUGCAGAAUAAGCACCGGCUAACUACGUG